UAGAAAAUGGUGUAGUGGAAGCACUUAGAGUUUUGAUCUCUGUUGGAUGGGUUCGAGUCCCUUUUUUCUAA
rnacentral:tRNA from 3 species